AUAUAUACAUAUAUUAUAUAUCUAUCCAUCUAUCCAUCAAUCUAUUUAUCUAUCUAUCUAUCUCAUUCUCUGUCGCCAGCUAUUGCGCCUCUGUUUACUCGUGGCUAUGUCUGUCUCCGAUACCGAGCUAAUUCGGUCGUGUCUUUCUGGAAUCUGACAGAGACCGGACCGACUUAACGCUACCGAAAAUUGCAACCGAUUAAAACAAGGUUUGAAAACAAUUGUUGAGAACGUAAAGAGUCUCGUAAGUCAUAACUGUUCUAAUUGGGCGAUUAUGAGAUUUAUUUGGUUGUUCGUGACUGUUACAGUCGGAAGUUGGAACCGAUUAAACAGUUUUCAACGUAUGAAUCAGGUUGUUCUAAUGGAAAGCGCCUCCGCUUAAUUUCCAGUUGCGCCAACAUGUCCGAGCAAAUCUGUAUCAUUGGCAUCGCGCUGAAUAGCAGGGCUUGGGAGCAGCUUGGAACUCGAUCCUGGACGAGGAGGAGGAAGCGAUCGACGACAGCCGGCGUUCGUCGAUCGAUCACGCGUGAUCGAUGCCCGGCCUCUUUGUUCCUGCGGAAGAAAAAGAGUCCUGUGAUCGAUGGAGUCGGGAAUAAAGGUGAACGAUAACGGGGAAGGAUAACCGGCGAAGAAGAGACCUAGGGAAGUAAUAGCGGCGAUGAUCUCGGUGUAAACGCUGUAGUAAUUUUUCGAUUACAACCGAAUCGAAUUCUUUCGCAGCAAUUACUGGUUCGAGAGAGUGGAACUCUUCGAGGAGCAAGAUCGCGCAAGGGAGGAGGAGCAAAAGUGCUCCCGCAUCGCCGAGAAAGGAGCAGUAGGUCGAUCCGUGGACGUUUAUCUCGCUGCUGGAGCCGAAUGGUGUAGCAGAGAACAAGCCACGACCUCUUGCCAUCUGCGUCGUGGCGGAUCCAGCGAUCUUCCGUUAAUUACUGGGGUUUUUUCUACGGUUUUCAAAAGAUCAAGAUUGCCGUUCCAGUCGUAACAUAGUAACAACAACCGGUCGCAAUCAUAGAUUACGCGCCUACAUCUUUAUCGGUCGGCUAAUUGCCUUCUGGCGCGGUCGUAAAACGCGAAUUCGUUUACAAGAAUCCACGCUCGCGUUCGCUGUAAUCGCGCAUGAACGCGCGCCGGAUGUAUGAUCGAGUCGUUUCACUUGCUCGCAGUGAACAGACCGAACCGUUUCAUCGAUGCUUCGAGGAACCGACCGAAACGAAUUUCGAUCGAUCAUCGAAAGAUACGGAAACGUUUGCGGAAUCGACACCGCGAGCACAAUGUUUGUUUCAAAGUGAUCGAAUGCGGUCGCGAGACUCUGUUUCAUCGCCGAUAAAACAAUCGCCGUAGAUCAAGCGAAAUAUAUUUUCUGCGCAUUUCUCGGUGGAUUCUCGAUAAACGUUGGCAAGAGUUCCGCUGAUUUCCCGAAGAAAGAAUGCGAAAAGUUUCUGCUCGCUGUCUUCGGCUUUUGCCCGUUUCGAGAGCUUGCAGGUUCCGUCCAACGGAACGCCUCGUUGUUGCGCAACACCUGCUGCUCGAUAAUCCCGUGUCCAUGGUCCUCCUCGCUUCCUGGCUUAGUUAUUAUCCGCGAAUCGAACCCCGCCUCCUUUCUCUUUAAAGGCGUCUUCCUUUUUGCGAAAAUGACGGGCCGACCGCACGAUGCGCGAGCUGCAGCCUCGAGGCCUUGACGGCGAGGAGAACCAGGUCGCUCCGGAAUCCUCUUCCAAUCUAGAAAAAUACGAUCACGAUCUAUCCUCUUUCGGUUUCGCCCUUCUCGGCUUUCGAUGCCUCAACGACGAGGAUGCACCGCGUCGCGACCAAAAGUGUCUCCUGCGACGCCUUCUGCGGUUCAGGACUGGCUAUUAUAGUCUGUAAUUCGUUUGUAGAACCUGCUGCAGUUUCUCUGGAUUCUGCGAUUGUUUCUGCGGAUAUUAGAAUUUGUUUACGGGCUUGGAUCAAAUGUUUUCGAACUCUAGAAUUGUUUUAUCGUUUUUCUGCGGGCUCGACAGUUUUUCUAUAGGUUCUACAAUAUUUUUUACACGCCAAUCACGGUUCUGACCACGCUCUAAAUUUUCUUCACACGAUGUACAUACUACGCUCGCUCUAAAAGUGAUUUCGAAAUUCUCAGGCGAAGCUCGACGGCGAUCGACGUCGAUCAACAUCCCGAAGUUCGCACGACUAUCGACGACGAGAUCUCGACUAUCUGCCGAGUGGAUUAUCUUUCCACGGAGGACGGAUCCCUGAUGGAUUAACGACGCCGUAGCGACGCCGCUGACACGAUAAUUACCCGGACCAUAUCCCCCGAGAUUAAUCUACGAAUCUGGAUUGUCCGCAUCGAAUUAUCACCAGCUGCCCUUUCCCGGGUCGGUCGAUUAACGCGCCGGACAAUUAAUUGUCCGCGAUCCGGCUCGCUCGAUUAGGAAUUUUACGGAGACAGCUCAGAUUUCCGCUGAUCUUGACCCGUUUUCCCUGGUUUUCUGCGUUCGUUUUCUCUGCGUUUGGCAGUUGCCGUUAUCGCUUCGUUAUCGUUCGAGUCAAAACUCUGGCCCGAGUAAUCGACACGAAUUGCACGAAUUGCUGUCGAAUAUCGCGACGGUGUUCGCUUUGAAAAUAGUCUGCUUUGGAAAUUCACGGUCGUCGCGCACGGGUUUACGUAAAAGGAGGGCGGACGUAAAAGGCCUAGAGAAAAGCGGGACGAAAUGAAAAUGGCAACGACGACCACGAAGAAUGAAAUAUUAGGAUCGGACGAGUGACCGUACGCGGCUAUCGUUUAUCAAAGUCGUUGAUGAGAGCCGGCUCGCUCGGCCUAUCGUGGAUAUUCGUUCGAAAUAAAAACACGGCGUUCUGUGGUUGGUCAUUCGAUCCUUCGACGGAUUGCUGGAAGAACGUGCGAAUGCUGAAAACUAAAAAGAAGAAGGCGACGAGUCCGCGGGAGGAAGUGGAAUUGUUUUCUCAAGGAAAUUCCCGGCGAGUCGUUUGUUCGCGAUGACGUCGGACGAGGGCCGAAACCCGGCUUGAAAAGACGAUUUAAACGUGCGGGAACACACUUUAGCCUCUGGCGAAGAACGAUCAUGCUGUCGAUGGCGGAGUACGAGGUCCGCUGCAAAGUUCGCGGAUCCAUGAAUCGACUAACUUUGGAAUUGAGAAGAAAGGCACGAAGGGUGUCGGAAGCUGGCCAGACCCUCGGUCGCACGGUAAGCUUGCUAAAGUCAACGAGGCGCGAAGAACGAGUUAAUUGACGAUGCACUUCGGACAAUUGGACCCUAUGCUUCGAUUCAAUCGCGUUAACACCUGUCGGCUGUGACUUAGACCGUGAAAAUUGUCAAGGAUUCGAGUUAGGUGGUUCUUGAGUCUAUAGAAAAAUUAUACGGUCCAUAAAAACAUCGUAAAACUUCUAAAAAAAAUUGUGGAACUUGUAAUAAAAUUGUACAACAUAUAGAAAAUACUACAGAGCUUAUAGCGGAAUUAUAAGAUUUAUAGAGUAA